rnacentral:piRNA from 1 species
UGACAUGAACACAGGUGCUCGGAUAGCUUU